ACACAGGCCUGAUAAUCAGAACCAGACUGAGCAUUUUUGAGAAAGAAAUCUUGAACCCGUGUGCCUUGGAUGGAGAAGAACAGAAUCAGACCCCUUAAAUAAAAAUUUAUUGUUUAUAUAAAUAAUUCUGUCUAAUGUAUAA